rnacentral:ncRNA from 1 species
GGUUCGGGCGCGGGUCGGUGGGACGAUCCGCAGGAAUGGAACCCGCCUCGUUUCGCUCGGGAUGGAUCAGGCCGCAGCCCGGCGGCCCGACCU